AUUGAACGCUGGCGGCAUGCCUUACACAUGCAAGUCGAACGGUAACAGGUCUUCGGAUGCUGACGAGUGGCGAACGGGUGAGUAAUACAUCGGAACGUGCCUAGUAGUGGGGGAUAACUACUCGAAAGAGUGGCUAAUACCGCAUGAGAUCUACGGAUGAAAGCAGGGGAUCGCCAGAUCUUGUGCUACUAGAGCGGCCGAUGGCAGAUUAGGUAGUUGGUGGGAUAAAAGCUUACCAAGCCAACGAUCUGUAGCUGGUCUGAGAGGACGAUCAGCCACACUGGGACUGAGACACGGCCCAGACUCCUACGGGAGGCAGCAGUGGGGAAUUUUGGACAAUGGGCGAAAGCCUGAUCCAGCAAUGCCGCGUGCAGGAUGAAGGCCUUCGGGUUGUAAACUGCUUUUGUACGGAACGAAAAGCCCUGGGUUAAUACCCUGGGGUCAUGACGGUACCGUAAGAAUAAGCACCGGCUAACUACGUGCCAGCCGCCGCCGUAA
rnacentral:rRNA from 1 species